GUAGGAUCCGAGCGUUAUCCGAAUUUACUGGGCGUAAAGCGCGUGUAGGCGGCCGGGUAAGUUGGACGUGAAAGCUCCUGGCUCAACUAGGAGAGGUCGUUCAAAACUGCCUGGCUAGAGGGCGACAGAGGGAGGUGGAAUUCCCGGUGUAGUGGUGAAAUGCGUAGAUAUCGGGAGGAACACCAGUGGCGAAGGCGGCCUCCUGGGUCGCACCUGACGCUCAGACGCGAAAGCUAGGGGAGCGAACGGGAUUAGAUACCCCGGUAGUCCUAGCUGUAAACGAUGUGGACUUGGCGUUGGUGGGGUCAAAUCCCAUCAGUGCCCGUAGCUAACGCGUUAAGUCCACCGCCUGGGGACUACGGUCGCAAGGCUA
rnacentral:rRNA from 1 species